GAAAUGCGAUAAGUAAUGUGAAUUGCAGAAUUCAGUGAAUCAUCGAAUCUUUGAACGCACCUUGCGCUCCUUGGUAUACCUUGGAGCAUGCCUGUUUGAGUAUCAUGAAAUCUUCAAAGUAAAUCUUUUGUUAACUCAAUUGGUUUCUACUUUGGUAUUGGAGGUCUUUGCAGCUUCACACCUGCUCCUCUUUGUUCAUUAGCUGGAUCUCAGUGUUAUGCUUGGUUCCACUCGGCGUGAUAAGUUAUCUAUCGCUGAGGACACUGUAAAAGGUGGCCAAGGUAAAUGCAGAUGAACCGCUUCUAAUAGUCCAUUGACUUGGACAAUACUUUUAUGAUCUGAUCUCAAAUCAGGUAGGACUACCCGCUGAACUUAAGC
rnacentral:misc_RNA from 1 species